UACGUAGGGGGCAAGCGUUGUCCGGAAUCAUUGGGCGUAAAGAGCGUGUAGGCGGUUUAGUAAGUCUGCUGUGAAAGUCCAGGGCUCAACCCUGGGGAUGCCGGUGGAUACUGCUGGGCUAGAGUACGGAAGAGGCGAGUGGAAUUCCCGGUGUAGCGGUGAAAUGCGCAGAUAUCAGGAAGAACACCAAUGGCGGAAGGCAGCUCUCUGGGACGGUACUGACGGCUGAGACGCGAAAGCGUGGGGAGCGAACAGG
rnacentral:rRNA from 1 species